UGGAAGACGAAACAGCGGCGUCUGAAGGCUCACUGUCAUUCACAAGUGGCUCCAGUCUGGUUUGGGGGUUCUGCCAUCCAAGUAAAGUUAUUCACAAGUGGCUCCAGUCUGGUUUGGGGGUCUACGCUUUCUCAUCCUGUCCUGCCACCCAAGUGAAGUUAUUCACAAGUGGCUCCAGUCUGGUUUGGGGGUCUACGCUUUCUCAUCCUGUCCUGCCACCCAAGUGAAGUA